rnacentral:lncRNA from 1 species
GACGGGAGUCUCGCGAUGCUAGCGCGGGGCUGCUGACGUCAUCUGCAGGCCCUGGAGACGCGACUGCAGUUACCGAGUUUCUAAGGCCUCGUCCCCUGACGGGAAGGCGGCGUUGGGGGGCGGCUGGGUUUACCCUUCGAGAUCUCUGAUGGAUUUGUUGACUCCUCUGUGGGAGAAAGGCUUGGUCUACUGCAGGUGUUAACGCUAAGCCAGGCUGGAGCUGUGGACGUCAGUUUCCUCAGCUCCCCGCUGUUCGCUUCGAACGUGACCUCGACGUCUGCUCUCCCCUUCCCUUUAGCUGACAAUGUGACAGUGCUUGAAUAAAAGUCAGUCUGACAGGAACGGUAA